UGUAUGUGUGUGUGUGUGUGAUGAAAUGCAUGAAAAGCAGGUGCAAAAAUAAAUCCUCUUUUGAAACCCAGAAGUCAUUAUUCAGUAUGAAUUUUGAUACAUACAAGAAGUAACAUG
rnacentral:snoRNA from 1 species